rnacentral:tRNA from 1 species
ACUUAAAUAGCUUAUAUAGAGCAUAAUAUUGAAGAUAUUAGGGAAAUAAAUUUUAUUUUUAAGUA